rnacentral:rRNA from 1 species
CCUACGGGAGGCAGCAGUAGGGAAUAUUGCUCAAUGGGGGAAACCCUGACGCAGCAACGCCGCGUGGAGGAUGAAGGUUUUCGGAUUGUAAACUCCUUUUGUUAGAGAAGAUAAUGACGGUAUCUAACGAAUAAGCACCGGCUAACUCCGUGCCAGCAGCCGCGGUAAUACGGAGGGGGCAAGCGUUACUCGGAAUCACUGGGCGUAAAGAGCGCGUAGGCGGGAUAGCAAGUCAGAUGUGAAAUCCUAGGGCUUAACCAUAGAACUGCAUUUGAAACUGUUAUUCUAGAGUAUGGGAGAGGUAGGUGGAAUUCUUGGUGUAGGGGUAAAAUCCGUAGAGAUCAAGAGGAAUACUCAUUGCGAAGGCGACCUGCUAGAACAUAACUGACGCUGAUGCGCGAAAGCGUGGGGAGCAAACAGGAUUAGAUACCCUUGUAGUC